rnacentral:rRNA from 1 species
UGCAGUCGAGCGGACCGACGGGAGCUUGCUCCCUUAGGUCAGCGGCGGACGGGUGAGUAACACGUGGGUAACCUGCCUGUAAGACUGGGAUAACUCCGGGAAACCGGGGCUAAUACCGGAUGCUUGAUUGAACCGCAUGGUUCAAUCAUAAAAGGUGGCUUUUAGCUACCACUUACAGAUGGACCCGCGGCGCAAUAGCUAGUUGGUGAGGUAACGGCUCACCAAGGCGACCAAGCGUAGCCCACCUGAGAGGGUGAUCGGCCACACUGGGACUGAAACACGGCCCAAACUCCUACGGGAGGCAGCAGUAGGGAAUCUUCCGCAAUGGACGAAAGUCUGACGGAACAACGCCGCGUGAGUGAUGAAGGUUUUCGGAACGUAAAACUCUGUUGUUAGGGAAGAACAAGUACCGUUCGAAUAGGGCGGGACCUUGACGGUACCUAACCAGAAAGCCACGGCUAACUACGUGCCAGCAGCCGCGGUAAUACGUAGGUGGCAAGCGUUGUCCGGAAUUAUUGGGCGUAAAGCGCGCGCAAGCGGUUUCUUAAGUCUGAUGUGAAAGCCCCCGGCUCAACCGGGGAAGGUCAUUGGAAACUGGGGAACUUGAGUGCAGAAGAAGAAAAUGGAAUUCCACGUGUAGCGGUGAAAUGCGUAGAGAUGUGGAAGAACACCAGUGGCGAAGGCGACUCUCUGGUCUGUAACUGACGCUGAAGCGCGAAAGCGUGGGGAGCGAACAGGAUUAGAUACCCUGGUAGUCCACGCCGUAAACGAUGAGUGCUAAGUGUUAGAAGGUUUCCGCCCUUUAGUGCUGCAGCAAACGCAUUAAGCACUCCGCCUGGGGAGUACGGUCGCAAGACUGAAACUCAAAGGAAUUGACGGGGGCCCGCACAAGCGGUGGAACAUGUGGUUUAAUUCGAAGCAACGCGAAGAACCUUACCAGGUCUUGACAUCCUCUGACACCCUAGAGAUAGGGCUUCCCCUUCGGGGCAGAGUGACAGGUGGUGCAUGGGUGUCG